rnacentral:rRNA from 1 species
GAAGGUCCCAUAAUCAUUAGUCUUUUAAUUGAGGACUGGAAUGAAAGGUUUGAUGAAUAAAAACUAUUUAGUGUUAAAUUUUGAAAUUAGAUUUAUUGUAAAAAUACAAUAUAGAAAGUAUGGGACGAUAAGACCCUAUCGAGCUUUAUUAAAUUAAUUUGAUGAUGAAAUUUAUUUUCUCUUAUUAAGUAAGGUUUAAUUUUGCUGGGGUGGUAAAUAAAAAAUCUUUGUUUAUUUUUAAAAACUAACAAGUUAGGAAAUUUGAUCUAUUUUUGUAAAUUUGGAAAAGCUACCGUAGGGAUAACAGUGUAAUUUAUUUGAAAAGACCAUAUUGAUAAAUAAGAUUAGUACC